rnacentral:tRNA from 3 species
UAGCGAAGAGGCUAAACGCGGCGGACUGUAAAUCCGCUCCUUCGGGUUCGGGGGUUCGAAUCCCUCUCUCUCCA